rnacentral:rRNA from 1 species
CCCCCCUCAGUAAAGGUGAGUGAAGCGGCAACAGCUCAAAUUCGAAAUCCGGCUGCCUCUGGGCGCUCCGAGUUGUAACCCGAAGAGGAUGCUUUUCCCGAGGUGCCUUCCGAGCGCCCUGGAACGUGACGCCACAGAGGGUGAGAGCCCCGUAUGGUUGGACGCCGAGCCUCUGUAAAGCUCCUUCGACGAGUCGAGUAGUUUGGGAAUGCUGCUCAAAAUGGGAGGUAAACCCCUUCUAAAGCUAAAUACUGGCCAGAGACCGAUAGCGCACAAGUAGAGUGAUCGAAAGAUGAAAAGCACUUUGAAAAGAGAGUUAAAUAGCACGUGAAAUUGUUGAAAGGGAAGCGCUUGCGACCAGACUUGUGCUCGUCGAAUCAGCCGCCCCUCGCGGGCGGCGCACUUCGGCGGGCUCAGGCCAGCAUCAGUUCGCUGCAGGGGGAGAAAGGCGGUGGGAAUGUGGCUCUUCGGAGUGUUAUAGCCCGCCGCGCAAUACCCCUCGGCGGACUGAGGACCGCGCAUCUGCAAGGAUGCUGGCGUAAUGGUCGUCAGCGACCCGUCUUGAAACACGGACCAAGGAGUCGUCCUAAUAUGCGAGUGUUCGGGUGUAAAACCCCUGCGCGUAAUGAAAGUGAACGGAGGUGAGAGCUUCGGCGCAUCAUCGACCGAUCCUGAUGUUCUCGGAUGGAUUUGAGUAAGAGCAUAUUGGGCCGGACCCGAAAGAAGGUGAACUAUGCCUGUAUAGGGUAAAGCCAGAGGAAACUCUGGUGGAGGCUCGCAG